rnacentral:rRNA from 1 species
AUGUGGCUCAGCACGGCGCCCGUCAGCUCCACCGGCUUGGCCCCGUUGUUCUUGACGAUCACCGCCGUCGCCAUGCUCAGCGGGUACAGCGUCACCACGUACGACACCUCCAGCUUGGCCCCCUUGGCGCCGCCCACGCCGCACCCGAGCUCCACCUGCACCGCGUCGUACGAGUCCGAGUCCACGUCCGUCACGGACCACUCCGACGCGCCGAGCAGCGACGACGAGGAGGAGGCCUCGUUGAGCACCAGCCCCACGCCGCCCUUGACCGCGCCGGCGCCGGCCACGGUGUGCAGCAGCUCCCGGCAGCCGUCCCCGCCCUCCCAGGACACCUUGGGCCGGUACGACGUGACCAGCCCGUCGUUGAGCCGGAGCUGCAGCGAGCUGCCGUUGCGCACGCUCAGCUCCGCCGUGGGCGCGCCCGUGGCGUCCGUCCCGAACCUCAGGCCCUUCCGGCCGAAGGUCUCCUCCAGCUGCGACGUCUGCGUAGUAGCGGCGGGCACCGUCGACGCGACGCCCGAGGCUGCCCUCGCGGCCACGGUGGCUGGCCUGGGGGAGGCCGGGAGGUGGAGCGGGAGGAAGGAGGAGGCGGCCAUCGGAGCUAGCGCUGGAGCGAGUGAUAGCUAG